AGAGUUUGAUCAUGGCUCAGAUUGAACGCUGGCGGCAGGCCUAACACAUGCAAGUCGAGCGGUAACAGGGGAAGCUUGCUUCUCGCUGACGAGCGGCGGACGGGUGAGUAAUGUAUGGGGAUCUGCCCGAUAGAGGGGGAUAACUACUGGAAACGGUAGCUAAUACCGCAUAAUCUCUCAGGAGCAAAGCAGGGGACCUUCGGGCCUUGCGCGAUUGGAUAUGCCCAGGUGGGAUUAGCUAGUUGGUGAGGUAAUGGCUCACCUAGGCGACGAUCCCUAGCUGGUCUGAGAGGAUGACCAGCCACACUGGAACUGAGACACGGUCCAGACUCCUACGGGAGGCAGCAGUGGGGAAUAUUGCACAAUGGGCGCAAGCCUGAUGCAGCCAUGCCGCGUGUAUGAAGAAGGCCUUCGGGUUGUAAAGUACUUUCAGCGAGGAGGAAGGCAUUAAGGUUAAUAACCGCAACGAUUGACGUUGCUCGCAGAAGAAGCACCGGCUAACUCCGUGCCAGCAGCCGCGGUAAUAC
rnacentral:rRNA from 1 species